CCCUUAGACGUUCUGGGCCGCACGCGCGCUACACUGACCAGUGCAACAAGCAUCCGUCCUUGGCCGACAGGCCCGGGCAAUCUUUGAACGCUGGUCGUGAUGGGGAUAGACUUUUGCAAUGUUUGGUCUUCAACGAGGAAUUCCUAGUAAACGCAAGUCAUCAACUUGCAUUGAUUACGUCCCUGCCCUUUGUACACACCGCCCGUCGCACCUACCGAUUGAAUGGUCCGGUGAAGCCUCCGGAUUGGCGCGCACCUCGGUGCCGCCGAGAAGUUGGCUAAACCUUACCAUUUAGAGGAAGGUGAAGUCGUAACA
rnacentral:rRNA from 1 species